ensembl:misc_RNA
GACACAGCCCUGGGGACUGAUUUUCCUCCACAGAACAGGUUACAGCAGAGACGUCUGUAGUGCAAGUUUCUCCACACUGCCUGGCUGCUGUGCCUCGACCCUGACCUGAAAUGACCUACAGUGAGCAGAUCACUCUGGCCAUUCUGAGAGUGCCAAUG